GACGAACGCUGGCGGCGUGCUUAACACAUGCAAGUCGAACGGAAAGGCCCUGCUUUUGUGGGGUGCUCGAGUGGCGAACGGGUGAGUAACACGUGAGUAACCUGCCCUUGACUUUGGGAUAACUUCAGGAAACUGGGGUAAUAACGGAAAGGAGCCCCUGCCGGAUGGUGGGGGGUGGAAAGGUUCGGCGGUUGGGGAUGGACUCGCGGCUUAUCAGCUUGUUGGUGGGGUAGUGGCUUACCAAGGCUUUGACGGGUAGCCGGCCUGAGAGGGUGACCGGCCACAUUGGGACUGAGAUACGGCCCAGACUCCUACGGGAGGCAGCAGUGGGGAAUAUUGCACAAUGGGCGGAAGCCUGAUGCAGCAACGCCGCGUGCGGGAUGACGGCCUUCGGGUUGUAAACCGCUUUCGCCUGUGACGAAGCGUGAGUGACGGUAAUGGGUAAAGAAGCACCGGCUAACUACGUG
rnacentral:rRNA from 1 species